rnacentral:rRNA from 1 species
GUGGGGAAUAUUGGACAAUGGGCGAAAGCCUGAUCCAGCCAUGCCGCGUGUGUGAAGAAGGUCUUCGGAUUGUAAAGCACUUUAAGUUGGGAGGAAGGGCAGUAAGUUAAUACCUUGCUGUUUUGACGUUACCGACAGAAUAAGCACCGGCUAACUUCGUGCCAGCAGCCGCGGUAAUACGAAGGGUGCAAGCGUUAAUCGGAAUUACUGGGCGUAAAGCGCGCGUAGGUGGUUUUGUAAGUUGGAGGUGAAAUCCCCGGGCUCAACCUGGGAACGGCCUCCAAAACUGCAUGACUAGAGUACGGUAGAGGGUAGUGGAAUUUCCUGUGUAGCGGUGAAAUGCGUAGAUAUAGGAAGGAACACCAGUGGCGAAGGCGACUACCUGGACUGAUACUGACACUGAGGUGCGAAAGCGUGGGGAGCAAACAGGAUUAGAAACCCCAGUAGUCC